UACGUAGGGACCGAGCGUUGUCCGGAAUCAUUGGGCGUAAAGAGCGUGUAGGCGGCCUUUUAAGUCCUGCGUGAAAUCCUGCGGCUCAACCGCAGACGGUCGUGGGAAACUGGAAGGCUAGAGUGCGGGAGAGGAGAGUGGAAUUCCCAGUGUAGAGGUGAAAUUCGUAGAUAUUGGGAAGAACACCGGUGGCGAAGGCGGCGCUCUGGACCGAGACUGACGCUGAGGCGCGAAAGCGUGGGGAGCAAACAGG
rnacentral:rRNA from 1 species